rnacentral:ncRNA from 1 species
UGGUUCGCCGCUUCGGAUUAAAAGGGAAUCAGGUGAGAGUCCUGGACAGUCCCGCUGCUGUGAAGCUCGUCAAUGCUCUCUGGCACAUGCUAAUUGCCACUAACAAAUCUAGCCAUGAAAAGUUGGGAAGGCGCCAGAGGGUGAGUCAGUCAGAAGACCUGCCGUUCAUUAAA